rnacentral:rRNA from 1 species
AGUGAACGCUGGCGGUAGGCCUAACACAUGCAAGUCGAACGGCAGCACAGUAAGAGCUUGCUCUUACGGGUGGCGAGUGGCGGACGGGUGAGGAAUACAUCGGAAUCUACUUUUUCGUGGGGGACAACGUAGGGAAACUUACGCUAAUACCGCAUACGACCUACGGGUGAAAGCAGGGGAGCUUCGGACCUUGCGCGAUUGAAUGAGCCGAUGUCGGGUUAGCUAGUUGGCGGGGUAAAGGCCCACCAAGGCGACGAUCCGUAGCUGGUCUGAGAGGAUGAUCAGCCACACUGGAACUGAGACACGGUCCAGACUCCUACGGGAGGGAGCAGUGGGGAAGAGUGGACAAUGGGCGCAAGCCUGAUCCAGCCAUACCGCGGGGGUGAAGAAGGCCUUCGGGUUGUAAAGCCCUUUUGUUGGGAAAGAAAAGCAGCAGGUUAAUACCCCGCUGUUCUGACGGUACCCAAGGAAUAAGCACCGGCUAACUUCGUG